GUGGGGAAUAUUGGACAAUGGGCGCAAGCCUGAUCCAGCCAUGCCGCGUGAGUGAUGAAGGCCUUAGGGUUGUAAAGCUCUUUUGUCCGGGAAGAUAAUGACUGUACCGGAAGAAUAAGCCCCGGCUAACUUCGUGCCAGCAGCCGCGGUAAUACGAAGGGGGCGAGCGUUAUUCGGAAUCACUGGGCGUAAAGCGUGCGUAGGCGGCUUUGCAAGUUGGGAGUGAAAGCCCAGGGCUCAACCCUGGAAUUGCUCUCAAAACUGCAAGGCUCGAAUUCGGGAGAGGAUAGCGGAAUUGUCAGUGUAGCAGUGAAAUGCGUAGAUAUUGACAGGAACACCAGUGGCGUAAGCGGCUAUCUGGACCGAUAUUGACGCUGAGGCACGAAAGCGUGGGGAUCAAACAGGAUUAGAUACCCUGGUAGUCC
rnacentral:rRNA from 1 species